UGGGGAAUAUUGGACAAUGGGGGAAACCCUGAUCCAGCGAUGCGCGUGAGUGAUGAAGGCCUUCGGGUUGUAAAGCUCUUUUAUCCGGGACGCGGUACCGGAAGAAUAAGCUCCGGCUAACUUCGUGCCAGCAGCCGCGGUAAUACGAAGGGAGCUAGCGUUGUUCGGAAUUACUGGGCGUAAAGGGUGUGUAGGUGGUUUCUUAAGUGAGAUGUGAAAGCCCCGGGCUUAACCUGGGAAAUGCAUUUCAUACUGAGAGACUAGUGUGUAAGAGGGGAAAGCGGAAUGGCGAGUGGAGCAGUGAAAUGCGUUGAUAUUCGUUGGAACACCAGAGGCGAAGGCGGCUUUCUAGCUUAUCACAGACACUAAGGCACUAAAGCGUGGGGAGCAAACAGGAUUAGAUACCCGGGUAGU
rnacentral:rRNA from 1 species